rnacentral:rRNA from 1 species
GCCAACCAUCAUACCACGUUGAAAACACCAGUUCCCGUCCGAUCACCGAAGUUAAGCAGCGUCGGGCUUGGUUAGUACUUGGAUGGGUGACCGCCUGGGGGCUCCGAGUGUUGUUGGCCU